GAUGAACGCUGGCGGCGUGCCUAAUACAUGCAAGUCGAGCGAACAGACGAGGAGCUUGCUCCUCUGACGUUAGCGGCGGACGGGUGAGUAACACGUGGAUAACCUACCUAUAAGACUGGGAUAACUUCGGGAAACCGGAGCUAAUGCCGGAUAAUAUAUUGAACCGCAUGGUUCAAUAGUGAAGGACGGUUUUGCUGUCACUUAUAGAUGGAUCCGCGCCGCAUUAGCUAGUUGGUAAGGUAACGGCUUACCAAGGCAACGAUGCGUAGCCGACCUGAGAGGGUGAUCGGCCACACUGGAACUGAGACACGGUCCAGACUCCUACGGGAGGCAGCAGUAGGGAAUCUUCCGCAAUGGGCGAAAGCCUGACGGAGCAACGCCGCGUGAGUGAUGAAGGUCUUCGGAUCGUAAAACUCUGUUAUUAGGGAAGAACAAAUGUGUAAGUAACUAUGCACGUCUUGACGGUACCUAAUCAGAAAGCCACGGCUAACUACGUG
rnacentral:rRNA from 1 species